CUCUGAAACCCAAAGUCUCAGUCUUUAGAAAAAGACUUUGUGAAUAAUUUAAUGCAAAAUCCCUAUUUGAAUUAUAAAGGAAAGACUGCAGCCCAAACUAUUACUAAAAGCUACCAUCUGGACUGUGAUGCAAACCUAGCCCCACAUUACCUGCAAUCCAAAUAGGCACUACGUGAAGGAAGCAUGCUUAGAGAGAAAAGGUGACUUUUCCACUGAUGCUCAGAGCACAACCCUAGACCCCAGACUUCCAACAGAACAGUUAUAUUCCUGCUGACCUCUGCCUGGCCAAAAACCACCUUGAUUUUCUGCCAUAUUUGAAGCUAGAAUGGCUUUGUCUGAGACAACACACGAUCUGCAUGUUUUACAGCAGUAAAACUUAAUAUGCGCCAUCUCAUAUCAGUAAUAGGUAUGUUUCCUUGGACAGUGUUAGAAUAGUGAUUUUCAAGCCCUUCUUCAUUAGGCAUGCACUGAACCCUGCAUCCUACUGCUGACCAGCUGUUGAGGAGCAACUGAAGUGGUUCAAAUACUGUUAAGCAGAAAAACACUGUAAAUCCUUAUGUGUGACAAUACAAUUACAUGCAUAAGCUUGUACUGAUGUUACUUGUUUCUAUAUUCCCCAACACUGCCAUGAUUGCAAACCCUAGUGCUGUUCUUAUUCUUUAUUUUAGAUAGCCAUUACUUGUCCACCAGACAAGGAGAUGGCUCUUUGUGCUAGGCAAUGCAUAAAUUUUCUAUAAGCUUACUUAAGAAGCUUAGAAAACAUUUCUAAAAUUUGUAUAUACUCUGACUUUUCCCUGGCAUAGGUUUCUCAGAAAGGUGGUAGAAUCUUCUUCCUUGGAGAUCUUCAGAAACUCUCUGGAUAUGGACCUGGAAACCUGCUGUAGAUAGCCCUGUUUGAGCUCAAGGUUGGAGCUCCAGUAGUUCCUUCCAACCUUAACCAUUCUCAGAAACUUUCUGGGAAAUUAGAUUUGUCCUUCCUAAGAAGCAUAUGGUGCACAAAGCAAGACAGACAAGAAGGCAAGGCACAAAAAAGGAGGUGAAGAAUAAUAAGGAGACCAACAGUAGCUGAAGGAAUUGGAACUGGAAUAUGGCAACUGUAAAAUGUGAUGUUUGUAUAAACCUGAUGGGAACAGAUCCUUUAAUCAGAAGUAGAUCAUGAAGAAUUCUGUUGGAAGCAGACACAAGGAAGCUACAUUUAAAACUAUGUUUGAAUGCUCCUGAAAUUAUUUCCCUGGAGCAGAUUUGAAAAAGAAGAGGAGGGAACAGCAAGUGAUUCCAUAUGACUUCUUUUGGAAAUUACUUUUUUUUCCCAAGAUCAUCUCUGCUGAAAUCAAUUUCCCUUAAUGGACCUGACCCAACUACUGUUCUAUAUUAAGGAGCCAGGUGUUCUGCUUGGUCUGCUUUGAAUAAAUGGCAGAGUGUAUCUAAAAGACAUUUUUUCAUUUCUAUUUUGUCAUAUUUAUUUGGCCUGUUCCUGUUUUAAAUUGAUGACUUGGCUAAUCUAGAAUAAAAAGGCCUACUCUAAGCA